rnacentral:rRNA from 1 species
GGCGGCGUGCCUAAUACAUGCAAGUAGAACGCUGAAGAGAGGAGCUUGCUCUUCUUGGAUGAGUUGCGAACGGGUGAGUAACGCGUAGGUAACCUGCCUGGUAGCGGGGGAUAACUAUUGGAAACGAUAGCUAAUACCGCAUAAAAUUGAUAUUGCAUGAUAAUUAAUUGAAAGAUGCAAUUGCAUCACUACCAGAUGGACCUGCGUUGUAUUAGCUAGUUGGUGAGGUAACGGCUCAUCAAGGCGACGAUACAUAGCCGACCUGAGAGGGUGAUCGGCCACACUGGGACUGAGACACGGCCCAGACUCCUACGGGAGGCAGCAGUAGGGAAUCUUCGGCAAUGGGGGGAACCCUGACCGAGCAACGCCGCGUGAGUGAAGAAGGUUUUCGGAUCGUAAAGCUCUGUUGUAAGAGAAGAACGGGUGUGAGAGUGGAAAGUCACACUGUGA